rnacentral:misc_RNA from 1 species
AACACUGUUAACCUGCGGUACCUGCGGAGGGAUCAUUACCGAGUUUACAACUCCCAAACCCCUGUGAACAUACCUAUACGUUGCCUCGGCGGAUCAGCCCGCGCCCCGUAAAACGGGACGGCCCGCCCGAGGACCCUAAACUCUGUUUUUAGUGGAACUUCUGAGUAAAACAAACAAAUAAAUCAAAACUUUCAGCAAUGGAUCU